AGCUCCAAUAGCGUAUAUUAAAGUUGUUGCAGUUAAAAAGCUCGUAGUUGAAUUUCUGGCUGGUCUGCUAGUGGCUCUCGCAGUCGUUAGUUGUACCUAGUCAUCCGUACGGGAAUCUUAUUCGGCCUUCGCUGGUCGGUAAGUGGAUCGUACACUUUACUUUGAAAAAAUUAGAGUGUUUCAGGCAGGCAAUUGCUUGGAUACUGCAGCAUGGAAUAAUGGAAUAGGACUUUGAUCUAUUUGUUGGUUUCUCGAGAUCAAAGUAAUGAUUAAUAGGGAUAGUUGGGGGCAUUCGUAUUUAAUUGUCAGAGGUGAAAUUCUUGGAUUUAUUAAAGACGAACUUAUGCGAAAGCAUUUGCCAAGGAUGUUUUCA
rnacentral:rRNA from 1 species